CUCUUAUAAGCUCUCAGAUUUAUCUUUUCAAGAAUACAAAAAGAUUCAAUCUUUUUGAAAGGUGACUAUUUGGAAAGAUGAGGGGAGGAUUGUGGCAACUUGGACAAUCGAUCACCAGACGUCUGGCUCAGGCUGAUAAGAAGACUAUUGGUCGUAGAUGCUUUGCUUCAGAUGCUGAUCUGAAGAAGACUGUUCUGUAUGACUUCCAUGUUGUCAAUGGGGGAAAGAUGGUGCCUUUCGCUGGUUGGAGUAUGCCUAUCCAGUAUAAGGACUCAAUUAUGGACUCAACAGUAAAUUGUAGGGAGAAUGGUAGUCUCUUUGAUGUUUCUCAUAUGUGUGGGCUAAGCCUCAAGGGGAAAGAUACUAUCCCUUUCCUGGAAAAGCUUGUUGUUGCUGAUGUUGCUGGGCUUGCUCCUGGGACUGGUAGUCUCACAGUCUUCACAAAUGAGAAGGGAGGUGCAAUUGAUGAUUCAGUGGUCACCAAGGUGACUGAUGAUCACAUCUACCUUGUUGUAAAUGCGGGUUGCAGGGACAAGGAUCUUGCACACAUUGAGGAGCACAUGAAAUCAUUCAAGUCAAAAGGCGGUGAUGUUUCAUGGCACAUCCAUGAUGAGAGAUCGCUUUUAGCCCUUCAGGGACCCCUUGCUGCUCCAGUUCUUCAAUAUCUGACAAAAGAUGAUUUGAGCAAGAUGUACUUUGGGGAAUUCAGGGUUUUGGAUAUCAAUGGGGCACCAUGCUUCCUCACAAGGACAGGGUAUACUGGUGAAGAUGGAUUUGAAAUUUCAGUACCUUCAGAAAAUGCUCUUGAUCUUGCAAAAGCUCUUCUUGAGAAAUCAGAAGGGAAGAUUCGGUUAACAGGUUUAGGAGCUCGUGACAGUCUUCGUCUUGAGGCUGGAUUGUGCUUAUAUGGUAAUGACAUGGAGCAGCACACAACACCUGUAGAGGCAGGGCUUACAUGGGCCAUAGGGAAGAGAAGAAGGGCAGAAGGAGGCUUCCUUGGUGCUGAGGUAAUACUAAAGCAAAUUGAAGAAGGUCCUAAAAUCAGGCGAGUUGGCUUUUUCUCUUCAGGCCCAC
rnacentral:misc_RNA from 1 species